GAUGAACGCUGGCGGCGUGCCUAAUACAUGCAAGUCGAGCGAACAGACGAGGAGCUUGCUCCUCUGACGUUAGCGGCGGACGGGUGAGUAACACGUGGAUAACCUACCUAUAAGACUGGGAUAACUUCGGGAAACCGGAGCUAAUACCGGAUAACAUGUUGAACCGCAUGGUUCAACAGUGAAAGACGGUCUUGCUGUCACUUAUAGAUGGAUCCGCGCCGCGUUAGCUAGUUGGUAAGGUAACGGCUUACCAAGGCAACGAUGCGUAGCCGACCUGAGAGGGGGAUCGGCCACACUGGAACUGAGACACGGUCCAGACUCCUACGGGAGGCAGCAGUAGGGAAUCUUCCGCAAUGGGCGAAAGCCUGACGGAGCAACGCCGCGUGAGUGAAGAAGGUCUUCGGAUCGUAAAACUCUGUUAUUAGGGAAGAACAAAUGUGUAAGUAACUAUGCACGUCUGGACGGUACCUAAGCAGAAAGCCACGGCUAACUACGU
rnacentral:rRNA from 1 species